GUUUGGCAACACAGAUAGAUACUAAAACUGUAAAUUAUACAAAGAAGAUUAGCAUGCCCCUUGCACAAGGAUGACACAAAUUCAUGAAAUGUUCCAUAUUCAA